rnacentral:rRNA from 1 species
AUGUGGUGGCAGCAUUACCUCCUCAACCACGUGGGCGAUGACAAGACGCACUUCGUUGCCGUGGCUACGGGUGGUUUCAGGCACAGCAUGUGCAUACCGCAGGAGGUUGGGAACCAUUUGGGGAGCAUGAUCUCUGAAACCAUCAAACUAGAAGCUCCUAAUGGCAUAUUUCAUAUUGGAGUGUGUAGAAAGACGGGUGAGCUAGUUCUUCAGUCUGGCUGGGAUAAAUUUGUCGCAAUGCAUCACAUAGAAGAAAAUUAUUCUUUUUGGUUCGUGUACCGUGGGAACUCUACCUUUAAGGUUCGUAUAUUCAAUUCCAAUGAUCAUGAGAUGACUACUUCCUGUUCUCAACCACCUCAGAGCUUUGGGGGUGUUCCAUCUGCCGCAACUUGCGAUCAUCAUGUGCUGAAUGGAUAUGAAGCUCACAUGCUGAAUGAGCGUGCAUCUGUGGAGUUUGGGGUCGAUUUGGAACCUCAUAGCUCCGGCAAUCUCGAGGGGCCUUCCCAGCAUUCCUACAUUUUAGCUGCAGGGAUAACUCUAGGUGCUGUGGAGACGAAGAAAGUUGAGGAGAAAGUCCAAGCAAUUCAAUCUGCACUUCCUAUCUUCGUGACAGUAAUGACCAAAACCUGGGUUAAUGGCCGUAAUUUGCGCUUCUGCCGUGAAUACGGUUCAAGAUAUAUUCCACCUAUGAGGAAAGGAAAGCCUCUCAUGCUCCAGGCAGAGGGAAGAACGACGGAGUGGCCAGCCAGAUUGGGAAUAGAUGCGACUAGAGUGAACUGGAUUCGUCGUGGCUGGAAGGAAUUCGUCGCCGGCAAUGACGUGCGGGAGGGGGAUAUCUGCCUCUUUGAACGGGCAAAGAGCACGACACGGCUUAGGAUGACGGUCCAUUUCCUCCGCAAGUCAGACAUGGAGGUGUAG